rnacentral:lncRNA from 1 species
UCUUGGAUUACGGAUACCAGUCUCUCUGCAUCCUCAUCUGUCCACGUAGACAGUCAGCCAGGGAGUGGAAGAAUCCAUUCUUAAGUGGCUCGUGGGUCUCUGGUCGGUCUCAACGAAUGUCGAAAGCAGAGCAUCAGUUGAAAAGAAGAACAGCUAGAAGGUCAUUGAACAAGAGAAACAGCACAGUCCGGGGAAACCAGCUCUUGGGCUUGGAGAGGAAACGGAAGAUGAUCCCCUGUCUGUCAAUGGUAUUGAAGACUUGAGCUAAUGCACACCUGGCUACCCACAACUUCCCUUAGAAGAGCUCUUUCUCAUUAAGACUCAUCACUAAGACUUCAAUCGCAGCUGGUAGAGACUUGGGGCCGGAUCUUAUGCAGGUAGAGAUUUCAGAGCCAACUGAGAUCUCUGAGCAUUGAACCCCUGUGCUGGCUCCUAGUAGUUCAGUAAGUGCUAGGCACAUGAAACCUUGGAGCAUCCCAGGACCCCAGUAUAUCAUAGAGUUCUCCAUCUGGGACUUCUUGGUCUUUGGCACCAUAUUUUCUCUAACCUCAUUGCAUUUGAACUUCUGAAAGCUAUCUGUACUUAUAACGUAAGUUCAUAUUGCUAAUGGAGUGAUCUUGAGUCAGGUAAAUGUGUGUUGUCCCAGGAAGAUUCAAAUCCAUAUAGUUCACUUAGGAGGUCAGAAAACACCUGUCUAGGG